ACGAGUGGCGGACGGGUGAGUAAUGUCUGGGAAACUGCCUGGUGGAGGGGGAUAACUACUGGAAACGGUAGCUAAUACCGCAUAACGUCGCAAGACCAAAGAGGGGGACCUUCGGGCCUCUUGCCAUCGGAUGUGCCCAGAUGGGAUUAGCUAGUAGGUGGGGUAACGGCUCACCUAGGCGACGAUCCCUAGCUGGUCUGAGAGGAUGACCAGCCACACCGGAACUGAGACACGGUCCAG
rnacentral:rRNA from 1 species